AUGGCUACUCCGGCGAAAGCAGACGGGGUUGGCGGCGUCGGUCCUCCCGGCAGUGGCGCAGGCGACGCGGAUCCCGACCCAGGCGGUGAGCUCUGCGGGAGCUCGAACCCUAGCAAGGCGACGCCAGAUGCGGAGGUGGAGUAUUCGGUGGAAUACGCGGCGGCUAGAUCUUUCGCCGCGGUGGUGAAGGCGAAUCCCAAUGGAAGCCACCACAUCGCCUCAUCCUUCGGCGGUGUAUAUCUGGAUGAUGAGGUUUGGGAAUUGAGGAUGCAUUUUCAUGACAGAGAUAAUCUUGAGAGAACUAUGAUGUUGUCAGACAUCACAUUUUACAAUCUAGUUGCACUGAUAGAGACUGAAGGAUAUGGGGUGAGGGAUUACAUGUACUAUGUGAAGGAUCCUGGCCUAGGGAUAGAAGGAAUGCAAGAAAUAGAGGAUGAUGACAUGCUGGAGGAAAAACUGGACCACAUAGUACAGCAGAAGCGGAAGAUUUUAAAUGUGACAGUUGUUAGGGCCAGUUCCCACAAACCUGCACAUAUAAAUUGCAGUGCUAAUGUUAUUGAGCAACAGAUCCCUCUGCAGGAAAUUGGAGAGCCCCAACUUUAUCAGGUAGAUGAAGAAGGAGUGUUGUUCAAUGCACAUCCUAGUUCAGUUUCAAACACAGCCGCAGUAGUACUAGUAGAAGAACCAAGACCAAUACAGUUUCAAACAUAA
rnacentral:rRNA from 1 species